rnacentral:rRNA from 1 species
GGAGUCUGGGCCGUGUCUCAGUCCCAAUGUGGCCGUUCACCCUCUCAGGCCGGCUACUGAUCGUCGCCUUGGUAGGCCGUUACCCCACCAACUAGCUAAUCAGACGCGGGUCCAUCCUGUACCACCGGAGUUUUUCACACAAUACCAUGCGAUAUCGUGCGCUUAUGCGGUAUUAGCAGCCGUUUCCAACUGUUGUCCCCCAGUACAGGGCAGGUUACCCACGCGUUACUCACCCGUCCGCCACUAAGUCACAAAAUCGUCACCCCGAAGGGAUCGUAAUUAAGUGCUUCGUUCGACUUGCAUGUGUUAGGCACGCCGCCAGCGUUCAUC